rnacentral:lncRNA from 1 species
AGGGUCCAAGCCCGCAGCCGUAGCAGGCCGGACGAAGAAAGCGGGCCGGAAGGGCAGCGUCGCGGUGCUGGAGGCUGUUGCUGGGAGGCGUGGAUUCUGGAAAGCACGUGACUCUUGCCCCUUCCAAGUUGUCAUCCUCAUUGUGAAAUUCACCUGGUAGCUGAUACUCAGGAGAGGAAUACUUUGGAAGCCUGAGUCUUCUAGCCAUCACCCUUCUGUUUUUCUCUCAAAGCUCCACUUGGAGCUCAGCUGGAGAAGGAACCCUGUGAAGUCUGGAAUUGGACAUGUCUCUUAUUAACGAAGUAAUUGUGGAGAAAACAGCAUUCUUACCACUAUCAUCCAGGAAAGUAUCCCAAGUCCCUUCCUUGGCAGUAGCAAACUUCCCUUAAUUCCCUUCCCCUUGAGGAGAUGCAGCCAGAAUGAGAGCCUUAAGCAGAGUUUUUGGGUGAAAUGAUAGGCAUGUUCUAGGAAUUGUGACUUAAACUUGGACCUCUUGUGAUUUUUUUUCUUUUCAUCUUAAUUACUGCAUUUCACUCAUUCAUCAUGAAAUAAACUCUUACUGAAGGCUU